AUUGAACGCUGGCGGUAUGCUUAAGACAUGCAAGUCGAACGGUAACAGACCUUCGGGUGCUGACGAGUGGCGGACGGGUGAGUAACACGUGGGAAUCUACCUUGUAGUGGGGGAUAAGCCAGGGAAACUUGGACUAAUACCGCAUACGCCCUAAGGGGGAAAGGAGCAAUUCGCUAUAAGAUGAGCCCGCGUCUGAUUAGCUAGUUGGUGAGGUAAAGGCUCACCAAGGCGACGAUCAGUAGCUGGUCUGAGAGGAUGACCAGCCACAUUGGGACUGAGACACGGCCCAGACUCCUACGGGAGGCAGCAGUCGGGAAUAUUGGACAAUGGGGGCGAACCCUGAUCCAGCAAUACCGCGUGUGUGAAGAAGGCCUGCGGGUUGUAAAGCACUUUUAGUAGGGAAGAUAAUGACGUUACCUACAGAAAAAGCACCGGCUAACUACGUG
rnacentral:rRNA from 1 species